rnacentral:rRNA from 1 species
GAUGAACGCUAGCUACAGGCUUAACACAUGCAAGUCGAGGGGUAACGAGAGGAAGGCUUGCUUUCCUUGUCGACGACCGGCGCACGGGUGAGUAACGCGUAUCCAACCUGCCCCCAACUAGGGAAUAACCUUGCGAAAGUAAGACUAAUACCCUAUAAUUUCCUCAGAUGUCAUCUGACGAGGAAUAAAGAUUUAUCGGUUGUGGAUGGGGAUGCGUCUGAUUAGCUUGUUGGCGGGGUAACGGCCCACCAAGGCAACGAUCAGUAGGGGUUCUGGGAGGAAGGCCCCCACAAUUGGAACUGUGACACGGUCCAAACUCCUACGGGAGGCAGCAGUAAGGAAUAUUGGUCAAUGGGCGGAAGCCUGAACCAGCCAAGUAGCGUGCAGGAUGACGGCCCUAUGGGUUGUAAACUGCUUUUAUACAGGAAUAAAGCUAGCCACGUGUGGUUAUUUGUAGGUACUGUAUGAAUAAGGACCGGCUAAUUCCGUGCCAGCCGCCGCCGUAA